rnacentral:rRNA from 1 species
GACGAACGCUGGCGGCGUGCCUAAUACAUGCAAGUCGAACGCUUCUUUCCUCCCGAGUGCUUGCACUCAAUUGGAAAGAGGAGUGGCGGACGGGUGAGUAACACGUGGGUAACCUACCCAUCAGAGGGGGAUAACACUUGGAAACAGGUGCUAAUACCGCAUAACAGUUUAUGCCGCAUGGCAUAAGAGUGAAAGGCGCUUUCGGGUGUCGCUGAUGGAUGGACCCGCGGUGCAUUAGCUAGUUGGUGAGGUAACGGCUCACCAAGGCCACGAUGCAUAGCCGACCUGAGAGGGUGAUCGGCCACACUGGGACUGAGACACGGUCCAGACUCCUACGGGGGGCAGCAGUAGGGAAUCUUCGGCAAUGGACGAAAGUCUGACCGAGCAACGCCGCGUGAGUGAAGAAGGUUUUCGGAUCGUAAAACUCUGUUGUUAGAGAAGAACAAGGACGUUAGUAACUGAACGUCCCCUGACGGUAUCUAACCAGAAAGCCACGGCUAACUACGUG